GGUAAGAUGACCGAAAUAAUAGGUGAUAGAUUGUAAAUCUAUUAAUGAGAAAUUUUUCUCUCUUAUCA
rnacentral:tRNA from 1 species